AAGUCGUAACAAGGUCUCCGUAGGUGAACCUGCGGAGGGAUCAUUAACACGUAUCCACGUACCACUAGUAAGCCCUUUUAUGGUUAACUCAAGGCCUCUGUGACCCAGCGCUAUGAGAUUUCACAAACAGUAGGACGGCUCCUUUCGAGGGGUCGUCGUCUCGCUGGUAGAAGCCUGUCGUGAAUGGACACGAAACAUUCCCGGGGUGGGUAACCCCCUGCAGUUUGCUACUGUUUUGUACUCCUGUUGUACCUUUAACCAUUUGUAACCUUCUGUCUGAAACAUGAGGCACUUCCGAAAGGAAUCUGCUUCACAAUGCGUAAACUAUUUACAACUCUUAGCAACGGAUAUCUUGGUUCUC
rnacentral:misc_RNA from 1 species